UACAGAGGCCCCAAGCGUUACUGAGAAUCACUGGGUUUAAAGGGUGCGUAGGUGGCGCGUUAAGUCCGUUGUGAAAUCCCUUGGCUCAACCAAGGAAUGGCUUCGGAUACUGGCGUGCUUGAGGCCGGUAAGGGUCACUGGAACUGACGGUGGAGCGGUGAAAUGCGUAGAUAUCGUCAGGAACGCCAAUGGUGAAGACAGGUGACUGGGCCGGUUCUGACACUGAGGCACGAAAGCGUGGGGAGCAAAAGGG
rnacentral:rRNA from 1 species